rnacentral:rRNA from 1 species
UACGGAGGGGGCUAGCGUUGUUCGGAAUUACUGGGCGUAAAGCGCACGUAGGCGGCUUUGUAAGUUAGAGGUGAAAGCCCGGGGCUCAACUCCGGAAUUGCCUUUAAGACUGCAUCGCUAGAAUUGUGGAGAGGUAAGUGGAAUUCCGAGUGUAGAGGUGAAAUUCGUAGAUAUUCGGAAGAACACCAGUGGCGAAGGCGGCUCACUGGUCCGAUACUGACGCUGAUGGUGCGAAAAGCGUGGGGAGCAAACAGG